rnacentral:lncRNA from 1 species
ACCGGCCUGGCUACGGUUAGCCCACAUUCCAAUUCAUCCUCCUGUUUUGGCAUGCAACUCUAAAGUGUUCUAACAGAGCCCUGAAAUCCGAAUCAUUGGAUUCUUGCUGCAUGGAGCUGUGGGACAUUGGCGGGACGUCCAAGAGUUUAGGUGAUGAUAUGCAAGGUCAAGCAUAACUGCAUUGGUGUAUCAGAUAUUAUUAUGCUAAUGUGUUUUAAUGUCCAGGUUAGGCCUUUGUGGUCGUAUGGGACAGAGAUUUGGGGCCUACAUGCGAUCCAGAAGGCCCCAGAUGUGGGCAAGCAGUCAGGGAGUGGCAGUGUUGGAGCCCGAGGGGAGGGGAGGUUGGCAGGAGAAAUGAUGCGUUGCCAAGAAGGCGGGGGAAGUGGGCUCGUAGAGGUUCACUGAGGCUACUGAGUUUCCUCUUUGCAGGGAGGUGGGGUGCAUACCGGGGUGGUACAUGGCAAGUAAGGGGGGCACAGCAGUGUUAAAUUGGAGCACCACUUCUGUAGAAAUCACCAUUGCUCAUGCACUCCUCGACUGUUGCAACUUCUUGCCUCACCCACUGCAUACAUCUCUCCAUUGAUCCUUCUCUCCAUCUCUCCAUACACCUCCC